GGCAAAUUAUAUUAAUAGACUAUACAAAGGGAGGUAUAGAGAGUUUAAGGCUGAGUUGAGUGCAUACUAUAAGUUGCAGAAGACACAUGAGAAUGCAUUAGCCAACCCUCCUUUGGAGAUGCUCGAUAGAGGUGUAAAUCAAUGGGUGGACCUGUGUAAUCAUUUGAACUCCAAUAAGAUCAAGGUAUUUAUUAUGUAAUUCUUUACCAGUUCAUAGCUUUUACUUCUAAUUUUGUUAUGUAAUAUCUAUAUAUUUUUCUUUGCAGAAAGCAUCAUCAGUAAACAUAGUGAAUUGAUCGAAGAAGAAGUACAAUCAUCGCACUGGUUCACGUCCUUUCUCAUACAUAGUGGAGAAGAUGGUUGAGGUAGUGAAUUUAUCAACACGACAUAAUUAAAUAAUUUUGCUACUAAUUUGAAUAUAAUAAUUGAAACAUGCAUUUUUUUCUUAUUAGGAUGGUUCGAAGUUUCCCGAAGUCGACACAUUUGAGUUUGCUUAUUCUUGGAAAAAUAAGUAUUGGACUUAUAAUGCAGCUAAAGCUCAACAUGUAGGAAAUACUCAACGUUAUAAAAUUGUUUUCUUUAUUAGGUUUUAUCUACCAUGUUAGACACAAAAUAUACAUUGCAAAGUUAGAUUAAAAAAGGCUAGAAAAUUAUAAUUAGAUUAAGUAGUAUGACAAUUUUUGUAUGCUAUUUAUAGGGCUAUUUUGGAAAUGGACACUAUCAUGGUCAAAAUGUUUUUGAGAGAUGGUUAUAUUUCUUAGCUCGUGCUAUAUCUCUUGUGUACAGUUGUGUUAUCUCUUGCAAACUUUGAUUUUAUGGAUUGUUUUAUAUAUUUUGUUGGUUGUGUUUGUAGGAUAAGAUGCUUGCCAAAGAGCAUGAAUAUCUUAUAGAGAAGGCAAAGGAACAGUAACUUCCCAAAGAUAUCCCUUUGGAGGAGAUACCGAUAGAUGAUCCUGAUGCUAGAAUUAAUAUAAUGAUGUUCGUUCUAGGUAUGAAUCUUGGGUAUUGGGAUAUCUUCUUCCAAUGUACACAAUUUGGAGGAGUUGGAAGCAAAACGUGG
rnacentral:lncRNA from 1 species